rnacentral:misc_RNA from 1 species
ACUCUUUGACCACAUGCUAGAAGUCAUGAUGCUUUUGAAUGUCACCACUUCUAUGAAAGUUCUCUAGCUUUGGUGUACCUAAUUAACCAAGCCUUACAUCUUCGUUAGAAGACUAAACAGCUUUUUGAAGAAAUGAUCAAAGAGUCCACAAUCAGGAUCAUAAUACAUAUGUGAUUCAGAGGGUCCGUGUACUAGCACUAGAGUGUCAUCUGCAGUUCUGUAUAGUGUCUCAGAUAGAUUAUUGGUUUGGAUUUCUUUCUCUGAAUAAAUCAUAAGCAAAUAUUUAUUUUAUUUCAAUUAAAUCCUGUGUUUGAAACUCCUGUACUUGUCAAAAUGUGUUCCAAAGAUGCAUAUCUAGGAUAUUUCAAGUUUUAAACAAACAGGUUUUUUUUUCUAUUGAAUUUUCUAUAGUGGUUUGUGUUUUAUGCAGUUUCUCAUAAAUGAUAGAAUAAGAUCUGCUACAGCAAAGAUUUGGUCUAGAAUGUAUUGGAGAAAUUAAAUCAUUAUUCUACAGUCUGACUAAUAUUGCAAGAGCGUAUCACAUAGGCUAUUAUGUCAUUGAUUUGGUACUGGUCCAGGAGAUAUUGAGGUUUCCUCUGUUGUUCCUGACAUCUGAUAUUUUUAUUGUAGGAUUGUAGGUUGCAUAUGUACAUGUAGCUGGAACUUGUACAAUGUAUUGAUCUCUAAGUGUCCAAUAGCAAACAGGGCUUUUUAGCCGCAGAUCAUAGAAAUACUAGCAUAACAUAGUUUUAAAACAGCUUACAGUGGUCGGUAUUUAAUGAGGAAUGUAUAGCCUGUACACAUAAAUAUUUCUCUUUUAAAAAAUUGAUGACACUUUUCCCCCAUAAAAUUGAUGACUCGUUUUACUGAGUAUGAAUAAGGUAUCGUAUUUGAUCAUACAAACUAAGGCUGUGUAAAUCAAUGCCGAUUUUCCGUUUUUUCCCUAAACCUCAUGAAAGUUUUAACGGCCAGUUAAUGGUCAAUAGAUACACAUGCUGCUAGUUUACAUAGCUCCCGAUGUGUUUGGCAGAUAAGCCUUCCCCACUAGCAUGGUGUUUGGUUAGAUAUCCCAGUGUAGGUUCAAAUACCAGACAUGGCCCCAUGCCACGAGUCAGACAAUCACGAUCAGUGCUGGAACUAGGGGGUACAUAUGUAUUGUGAUAAGAGGUUUUGUAUGAAAGACAGCUAGGGAGGAUUUUUUUUAUUUUAUUUUUUCCCCCAUGUCAGGUGUAUUGAACUUCAAUUUACUUGAUAGGGGU